CAAUGCCUGUGUGGACUUAGCUUCAGCUUAACAGGAAAGAUGAAGUAUAAAUAUGAUAGAUAUCAUCUCUAUUCUUAGGCAAGUUUGCCAAAGAGCAGCUCAACCCAUAUUGUUAUUUAAUUCUAAGGAUAAAGCCAUCUUCCCAUGGAGAAGGCGAUGUGCACAGGAGAUAAUGUUAAUGAAACUCUAGAAGAGUUGCCUGGAUCCUGGCAGAGGCAUUUAUUCUCACUAAUGAUGUGGAAUAGAACUGCAUAAUUGUGUCCAGUUGUAUUAAGUCUACCCAAGACUGUCAUGUCUUACAAAGGAACCAGCAACAAGCACCUACAAAAGUCCUGGAAUUUUCCUGUAAAAGCUAUACCUGGGGCUGGAAUCAUCAGCAAUUAUUCAUCAAUAAGGAAGAAGGAAUCAAACUCGGGACCUCAUGCUUGCGAGGCAGGCGGCAGAACCACAGAACUAAAUCCCCGGCCUGACUUCUCAUGUCUUUCUAGUUACACUGCAUUGUAAUAUCAUACAUUGACUUCUAAGGUGAUAUAAGCGAGUCUUUUUUUCCGUAGGCAUAGAGAUGUUUUCACAAAACCUCAUCUAUCGCUAAACAAAAUGCUUCCCUGAUGAUACAGGGAAAAGAAUAUACCUGUAGAAAGUAG
rnacentral:lncRNA from 1 species